GUCCGAGUGAUGAAAUUGGUAAACAUGACAAAUUUAAAAUUUGUUGACGAAAGUCUUAAAGGUUCAAGUCCUUUUUCGGACA
rfam:Triticum urartu cultivar G1812 contig925490, whole genome shotgun sequence.